rnacentral:lncRNA from 1 species
GUAACUUUUUGAUCCUAGAGGAGAUGUGGGUACUUGACCCAGUUGCUAAUGAGGUGCUGUAUAAUAUCAUGUAUCCUAUAGCUCAAAAUAGCAGGAUGCAGUAUAAAAAGUACAUCAUAAAAGGCACUAUUGGAAUGCUUUUUGUCUUCACAGGCAAUACGCAAAAGAGAUGACCUUCUGAGAAAGUCGGAAGCUGAUUCCCUGCAGGCAAGGGAAGGUAUCAAAGCAAAAGUGACUGAGGUGGAGCACCUUGACAGUGUGGUCAAGAAACUGAAAGCAAGUAUCCAGGACACACAGAAAGAAAAGAAUCAGACAGAGAGAGAAACCAUCGUACUGAGAACUGAGAUUCAGCAGCUAAAUCAGGAACUGCAGGGUGUGCAUAAGCAGUGCAGAAAGACAGCCCAAAGAACUUGCCAGUCAAGAUGAAAAACUUCUUCUAAUGGAAUCCAGCUUGAAAGCAGCUCAAGAGCAGCUAAGUGAGCAAAUAGCAGAAACAGUUCGCCAAGAACAGAACAGUAGAAAAUCACAGACACAGCUGAAGACCCUGAGAGAACGUAUUAUAGCUUCUGAAGAAGAAAUUAGUGAUUACAAAUUCAGGAAAAGUGUAGAGAAAUUUAAGAUGAUAAUAGCAUCAAAGAAAGAGAGACGAUAACAGCUUCUCAAGGCCGCAAUGUCCACUGGACCUGGAAUAAGCUUCAGGUAGAAAUACUCUCAAUCAGUUGAAGAACAAGAUUGAAGAGUAGGUAAGUUUUCUUUCAUGGAAGGAAAAAAUUAUCUAGUAUUUAUCUAGUAAGUUGAGCACAAUAGCC